GAGAGCAGCACUCUGGAUGAGUGGCAGCCUUCCUUCAUCAGAACAGAAGCCACAGAAACGCUCCUCAUCUCUGCUGCUGCUGCACAGGGCAGAAAAUCAUCUCAGCUGAGUUUGGACAGAACGUCACUCUGACAUGUCGAGCUCCAGACAACAACAUCUUAGUUGUAGAGUGGAGCAGAGCUGACCUGACGCCAGAGUAUGUCCUUUUGUACCGGGAUGAGCAGUCUGAUCCAGAGGAGCAGCAUCCAUCCUUUAAGAACCGGGUGGAUCUGCAGGGCAGACAGAUGAAGGACGGAGACGUGUCUGUGAUCCUGAAGAACGUGACAAUUAAUGAUGACGGAACAUAUGAGUGUUGUGUUGCCCAGAGAAACAGUGAACCUUUGAACCCCAUCUGCAGCAUCACCCUGAGAGUUGUUGUUCCUCCAGGUCCAGGAGCAGGAACCACAGAGGGUGGAGUCAGCAGAGGACAUCCUGGACUGAUAGCGAGUCACUUUUUGUGCUUCUUGUUGUUGCUGUUGUCAUUUUUGUGAUCUAUAGAAACAAAGAACAGAUUGAGGGUGCAGAGCUGCAGCAGGGUGAAAGGUCUCAGGUUUACAGAUGAACUGAGUCUCCUGCUGCUGCUCAGGCUCUCUGUGAUGUCACUGAGGGUGCAGUCAAAGGUCAGCAGCUGCAGAUAUGAAUCAUCUAGAUUUGCUUUUAUUUCACAUUUCUCUCAGUCAUCCUCUUUUUCCUGUCUGUGACUCCAUGAAGCAGCAUUUCAGUGGCACUCCACACAAAACAUUCAGUUUCAGGCUUUUGGAAUUUCAUGAAAAAUGUCUCUUCCAUUGAGUUCAAUAGUUUAUAUUUGUUUCCUCUCAGUAUUCCUGAGUUAAUGCAGGAGACUCAGCUGUUACUCACAGCUAACAUCAUGAUUUCAUUUAGUGUCAUCAGCAGGGAGCAGCAAUGAAGGUCUUCAUCACCAUCAUCUUCAGUCUUUGUGUUAAUAAAGAAUCCCAUGUUU